UGAAACGAAGAUAAACAAAGAUAUAAAUACAGAAUUCUCACAUUAUGUGAGAAUUGUUUAAUAAUUUACUUUGCAAAGGCGAAUUAUUUGUAUUUUUAUAGUGAACUGGUAAAUGGAACUACGCAUUUGCAUUGCAUUCAACUCGACAUCUUUAUUCAACUCAAUUGCAUUAAAUUUAAUUUAUCUAUGUUACGAUUCUGCAUAUAAGCGUGAGAUAGUUAUCAAUUGAACGCAAAGCUUUAUGGAUGACAUUGUGUAAAGAUCGUGAAAAAAAACUGAAAUAAACUUGAAGAUUGUAAACUGAAAAUAUUUGUUAAAAAGUGAUUAAAUUUCUUUUGUGUUUAAAUUCUAUCGAUCAUAAUGAAACUCGUGAUUUUUCUGUGUUUGCUUUCACUGAGUUUGUCAGCAAAUACAUAUAUGAAUAUUGCCCAAUGUUCGGAUUUGGAUUGUCCCGAUACUAUUGAAACAGUCUGGGCCAUGACCAAACAUUGCACUGCCUUUCGCAACAAAUGCUACUUCGACAUGGCCAAUUGCUUUUCUGGAUUUCUGUUUGGUCGACAGUUCAGAGCUGUUUCCCACGAAGAAUGCAAAGAACAUUGCAACACAAAUUGUUUGGAUUUGGAUUAUAAAAGAACCGUCGACAACUAUACUAUAGAUUUACAAAAAUCCUGCAUAGAUAUUCUGAUCGGUUGCAAAACUGGCCAAAUAACCUGGUAGUUGAAGCCACAUGAUGUUCGAAUACAAUUAUAUUGUUUACUCUCAAUAUUAUUAUACUUCUAUAAAUAAAUUAUAUUAUAUGCAAUAUUAUAAUGGCGUUUAAGUAGAAAAGCUCUUAGCACGGUUGUAAAAUAUUUAAAUUUGCAUUUUAUUAAUGGUUUUCAAAUUGUAACGAUUUUUCCUAAUUCGCCCAAACUGAAUUCGCCGCAUUUGCAACGUAUGCAAUUUGUCAUUUCUAUUUUUAGUCAACGCAAUUGCAUUUAAUUUAAUUUAUCAACGCUUUCGUAUAUAAGCUUGAGUUUGUUAUGAAUUGUGGACAAAGCAUUACGGAUGGCAUUGUGUGAAGGUUGACAGAAAACAGAAAUAAACUUGAUGAUUAAAAAGUUUACUUUGAUUUUAAAAAACAAGUAAAUAAGUCAAUAAAAAUAUAAUCCACCGAUCAUAAUGAAAAUUGUGAUAUUUGUGUGUUUGCUUCCACUGAGUUUGGGAGCAAGGUGGCAUAUAAGUAAUUGUCCUUCGGAGUGUCCCGAUACUGAGGAUAUAGUCUGGGCCAUGGGUCAAUACUGUAACGUGUUUCGCAACAAAUGCUUCUUUGAUGGCGUCAAUUGCUUUCGAUGGUCAAUAUUUAUGCGACCCAUGAGAAUAGUCGAUAAAGUAGAGUGUCAAAAGCAUUGCGACUCAGAUUGCUCGAAAAAAAAGGUCCUCCAGUAGUUGAGUACUACAAAACCGAAGUGAAACAUUUCCGAAAUAUAUGCGAAAGUAUUUUGCACACCUGUCGAACUGGACAAAUAUUCGAGUAACAUGGAAAAGGAUUUUCUUUAAAUAUAUUUUAAGUAUUUUAGCUAUAAUACUUAAUAUGUGUACACUUAAGUAACAAAAUUCAUGAUAUUGAUUCCUUUACAGUUUGAAAUAUUCAAAUUUUAUUUAGACCCAAAAUACUGUUCAAUAACAUAUAAGUUGAACAGCGAGUAAAUUAUAAAAAAUUUUCGAAAAUUUGUUUGGCUUGUAAUAAUAAGAAGCUUUAAUAGCUAAAAGCCAAGCCUCUGUAUAUCGCAUAAUAUUAACUUGCAUAUUCACUAUUGAAGCUAUUAAAAGUCAAAGCGUUUUAAACAAAUGAUUAGCAUAACAUUUGCAUUAAUCUGUUAAUAAUAUAAAUUGACUGCGUUUAAGCUUACUCUUUUAACCUUUUUUUUUUGUCAUCUGCUGAUAAUGCAAAUAAAAUAUUAACGUCACUAUUUUGGAGACUUUUUCAAAUGCGGUUUUCAAGCCAUACGCCACUGAACUCAUAGAAAAGUCUCCAAAUAAUUCAAGUUUUAAAUAUUUAAACGCAUCUACGAGAGCAGUCAAAAGCAGUCGAAAUUCAGCUGCCGAUCGAGAUAAACCCAAAUAAACACAUUU